UACGUAGGGGGCAAGCGUUGUCCGGAUUUAUUGGGCGUAAAGAGCGUGUAGGCGGCCAGGUAGGUCAGCUGUGAAAAACUCGAGGCUCAACCUCGAGACGUCGGGUUGAAAACCAUCUGGCUAGAGUCCGGAAGAGGAGAGUGGAAUUCCUGGUGUAGCGGUGAAAUGCGCAGAUAUCAGGAGGAACACCGGUGGCGAAGGCGGGUCUCUGGGCCGUAACUGACGCUGGAGGAGCGAAAAGCUGGGGGAGCGAACGGG
rnacentral:rRNA from 1 species